AGUACUUCCUUAAAUGAUCAAAAAGAUUUAAGCUUUUACAAGUUUAGACAAAGUCUUGAGAAAAAAUGAGAUAAAACUUAGCUUUUUAGAUCUAAAUCUAAUUAUAGGAAGGUGAAACUCGUGCUGGCUGAUCGAAUUAGACCAAGUCAAACCGGAUUAAACCGGAUUUAAAUGAUAUGUUAACCGCCGCGACCUCUGAACUCUGCAAACGAUCACCGCGAUAUUCCCUGGUCCCAAUUCUUAUCCUAUGUCGUGACCAAGCUUCUUCUGCGAAUAUGAGCUCGCGAUUGGCUCAAAACCACCGCGCCUCACUCCUCUGCGUCCGUCAACCGUGGGAUCUCCUGCUCAUUUGGUCGUCUUCCUCGUCACGACCUUGCUCAAGGCAUGAUUGCUAGCCGCGGUGCCUCCUUCUCCGAGAGUCCAUAUCUCCCUCGUGGCUGAACUCCUCCGUAAAGAAGUUCCACUGGUGUCGUCGGUUCGUCUCCUUCCUCGUGCUCUGGCUCGAGCUCGUCCUCCGUGGCCGACUUCAUCUCUGUCACUUUGCUCCGCCAAGGAUCCUCGAAUCAUUGCGCCUCCGUUGAACCACGACUCUUCUGUUGUCGUGCUCGACAACUCGAAUCUUCUCCGCCGUCGAGUGGAACCGGAGCCACCAUGAACUUCUCCUUCAAGCUCUAAACGGCGAGAAAGCUUCUUCUGUGGUGUCCGUUCCCAUCUCCAUCACAUUGCUACACCGCAAUUCCUCAGCCACGGCGAAGCUCUUCCAUCACGGCCUCCUCUGGUCUCAGCCCGUGGCCACCUUUUCCGUCUCACCGUCACAGGCUCGCCGUUCUCCGUGUUGAAGCCAAGAUCGAACAACUCCAAUGGCUGAUUUCCUCAUUUUUGCAAAACAGGUCCUCAAUUUCUUCGUGUUUACAAAACGGCCCAAAACUUCAUAAUUUGCAGAAACGCCCUCUCAAAUCAACUCUACACUUUCGAUUGUGCAAUUUAACCCAACCAAGAAUUCUGAAUUUAACCCAACCAGCUUUGAUCCCUGGGCUCUUGUUAACAUCACAUUGGGCCCAAGACUUCCAUAAUGUGCAAUUUAACCCAUGAUUUUCACCAUAAAAUUCCAAAUGUGCAUUCCAAACCCUAUCAAAUGCAAUUAUGUAUGAAAAUGCAAUAUAAAGACCUAAAUGCAACCUAAAAUGAUUAAAAUGAGAUAGAUUGAGAUGCUAAAAUUCACUUAAAACCCAAUAUAUCAGUUCUUAAGGGAAGGUACUUUAGACAUACGAACCCUCUAGAGAUUAGUAGCUCGAACUCUCCUUCGUAUGGAUGGAAAAGCAUGCUUGCGGCCAGGGAACUCUUAAAGAAGGGCUUAAGGCAUACGAUCGGAUCGGAUUUUAAUACUUGUGUGUGGUUUGAUCACUGGAUCCCAUCACAGACACCCAGGCUAGUUCAAGAUAAUGGUACGUGGAGGGACCCUAACAUGUACGUCAACCAUCUCAUAGAUCACAAUACGGGUGAAUGGAAGAUGGGUUUGAUUCGGAAUAUUUUCGAUCCCGUGGAUGUGAACCUAAUACAGAGCAUCAAAUCCAGUCACUGUAUCAAACCUGAUGGCUUCUGUAGGGUUCACACAAAGCCCGGGUUAUAUAUUGUUUGAUCCAUGAAGAGAGCAUCGAGAAACAGGUCCUAGAACCAAGUAUAAAUCCCUUGUUAACUAAGGUGUGGAGUUUGAAAGCACCCAGGAAGAUUAAACACUUCUUGUGGCAAUGUUUAACAGAAUGUGUUGCGGUUUGUAGUAGAUUAUCCGAUCGACAUUGCAGUAAUGACCGAUCGUGUCAUAGAUGUGGAGGGGAUGAUGAGUCCAUUAACCAUCUACUUUUUGAAUGUCCUCCUGCACUUUAGACGUGGGCUCUGUCGGACCUCCCAUCAGCUCCGGGACAGUUCCUAAGUUCAUCAAUCUAUGAAAACUUUGACUUUCUCCUGUUUCGAGCUCCGGCAAGGGGUGUCUCGAAGCAACGGCUAGUAAAAUUCCCUUGGAUUAUGUGGUAUGUAUGGAAAGAAAGGGACGAUAAAUGGUUCAAUGGUGUAGAUUUACCGCCCAUGGACUCCUUACAUAAGACGACUCAAGAAGGAGAGGAAUGGCUAGUAGCACAAGAAGUCCCAAAAGUUGCAAGGGAGAGGGAGCGACCACAGUCGAUAGAACAAGAGGAGAUGAAUAGGUUGCACAAACCGAGAUAUCAAGUGGAUGCAUCUUAGGCAACCAAUCAGUCUACUUUUGGUGGUGGUCUUAUCUUGGAGAUGGAAGAUGGGAGCAUGUUCUCGGGUUCCUUAGGGAGUAGGCAAGUCCCAUCCCCUCUUCAUGCAGAGUUCUGAACCUUGCUGUGGGCAAUUAAUUACGCGCUCCGUAUGAGUUACAACAAAAUUCAUUUCGAAUCAUACUGCCUGCAAAUGGUUACGCUAAUCGAAGAAGAAGAACUUUGGCCAUCUUUGGCUUCGGAAUGGAAUGAAUUCUCCCACCUCCGUUCUUUGUUUAUGUUCUUUUCACUUUCUUAUUCCUCGCGACUUAAAUUCUCUGGCUGACCUCCUUGCAAAAAGAGCUCGUAUGAAAGGUUCUGAGUUCUCCCAUGUAAACAUUUUGGUUCCACCGGGGUUAGCUCAAACUAACCUUUUCAAACCAGUCUAACGAAAUAUGGUGAUUAGCCGUAAAAAAAAAAGUAAUGUAUUUGAUCAUGGCCAGAAAUCAAUCAUCUCACUUUAUCAGUUCAGAUUUUUUACCUUCCCCAUCAACUGAAGCUAGGGUGAAAUCACAAAAUUAUUCGAAUCAUCCUCUCCCAAAAAAUCCUAGAACCAGAUCGUCCACUAAUAGCGACUACUCAACUGUAUUUUUUUCGAUUUUAAUGCUGGUUGUUGCCAGGAGACCGUUUUGGGGCGUCUUCUUUUUUUGUAGGCGAGGAAUGUGAAGAAAGCGGGAGAGCUUAUAGGUGUCGACAUGGUUUUCCUCGAUGAGAAGUCAGACUUUGGUCCACAGAUUUAUUGGGGCUGAGAGACUCAACUCUUUGAAGCACCUGCAGAAGUAAGGAACCAUCUACAAGCUAAGAAGAAGUAACUGUCAUGAUUCCGACUGGAAAAAACAGGUUUCGGAGAUAUGAACAGAUCAUGGCUCUAGCUAUUACUAUCAUAAUUUUGCCGGAUAGUUAUUUUUGUUUCAAAAGAAUUUAUUUAUUCGGUCAAUAAUGUUGCAUCUUUAUUCCACAUUUGUUACUAAUAUUUGGUACAAACAUUUUUGUUGAAGUGUGUGGCAUCAAGAAAACCUAUGACAAAGAAAAUCAGGCUAUGCAACGUGUUACGUUAACAAUCCGAGUAUACGGGGAGAUGGUCUGAGCUGCACUGUUCCUAUCUAUGAAGGUUAUGCCUUUCCACAUGCUAUCCUGUGUCUUGAUCUUGGGGGUCUUGACCUCACUAAUGCAUUGAUGAAGAUCCUAACUGAGUGUGGGCCACGACCACAUCAGAGCGUGAAAUUGUCUCAGACAUAUAAAAGAAGCUUUGCUACAUUGGUCUUGACGAAGGAUCUUGAGAAAGCCAAAACUAGCUCAGUUGUUGAGAAGAACUACGAGUUACCUGAUGGGAAAGUGAUCACCAUUGGUUCUGAGCGGUUCCGUUGUCCUGAGGACCGAGGUUCUUUAUCAGCCGCCUAUGAUUGUUAUGGAUGGAGAAUGCUAUACAUGAAACAAAUUAUAACUCCCUAAUGAAGUGUGAUGUAUACAUCAGAAGGACGUGUAUGGUAACACUGUGAUCAGUGGUGGGAAACACAUUUUCUCUGGGAUCGCUAACAAAAUGAGCUACGAUAUUACUGCUUGGGCUCCAAAGGAAGAGUACGACGAGUCAUGCCCAUCUGUUAUUCACAGGAAGUGCUUUUUAGCUCAAAGUUAUCAUUUUCAGAAAGAAGCGUUAAGCUGCUCUUUUAUUUUGUUUUUUGUACGUUGUAUUUUAAAAUUCUGGCCAAACACAUUUUGAAGGAUUUAUGUUCUUCUUAUUUAGUUCAGCUCCCUUUUGAGUAAAUAAUAGAACAUUUUUCUCUCUUA